AUGUUGUUUAUUGUAGUCUCCCUGAAGUUGGGACAAAAUUGAACAAACAAGAUGAGUUUGGUGCUUUGGAAAGUGUGAAAGCUGCUAGUGAACUCUAUUCUCCUUUAUCAGGAGAAGUAACUGAAAUUAAUGAAGCUCUUGCAGAAAAUCCAGGACUUGUAAACAAAUCUUGUUAUGAAGAUGGUUUUGUUUUGUUUUGUUUUGUUUUGUUUUGUUUGAGAUGGAGUUUCGCUCUUCUUGUCCAAGCUGGAGUGCAAUGGCACAAUCUUGGCUCACUGCAACCUCCGCCUCCCGGGUUCAAGUGAUUCUUCUGCCUCAGCCCCCUGAGUAGCUGGGGUUACAGCACAGGAAAAAGAAGAUAAAGUAGGAGAGGGAUCAGUUUCACAUUCAGUCCUAAGCAGCAACACGGUUGAGAUGUAAUCAUAAAAGCAAAUAUUUCACCCAGGACAUGGAAAAGCGGCGGAUCACCAGAAAGCAGAGAGUCAAACGCUGCAAGCAGAAGCAGUAAGAAGACGCCACGUUUGGAGCAAGGUCUUAUUUACACCUGCCAUGGUCAUCGGCUCGCUCUUUUAGGUCUCCCCAACCCGGCCCCCAAAAAGAGGUUAUAUGCAGAGGUAAUAUAAUAUAUGUACUUUUGAAAAUAACAAAGUCACCGUGGAGAUAAUUUCAAAACAAUUUAUUUUCAUUUUCAGAUACAUUGGACUAUUUCACUGAUGUUAAAAAGAGUAUGACUUGUUUAAAUUUUUUGUUGUUUCUUUUUUGCAGCCUAAUGU
rnacentral:lncRNA from 1 species